AUUGCAUCGGAACUGAGUAAAUUGAGAAAUACAGCAAACAUUUCAAAAGAACGCUGAUAAAAUUACCAGGCAGACCAAUGAAUCACUCUCAAUACAUAGAGCAAUUCCUGAAGAUGUGGGACACCAAGGAGCCAGAACUAAAGAGCUGGCCACAUCUGUAAACAGGAGCGCUGUGAGCACGCUGGCAGAUGUGGCAGGGGGUUGAGCUGGAAGCUGCUCGACACGUCGACUGGCCUGUCCGGGGUCAACGCCACAUUGCGAGAGACAAACAAGCUCCUGCAUGACUCGAACCUGACCACUCUGUUAGUGGAAAGAAAAAAGAUGUGGAAACACAAGCCAACCUUCUAUUUGAUCAGUUGAAACCUUUGAAGAUUUUAGAAGAGAAUCUGAACAGAAACCUUUCCGAAAUUAAACUGCUGAUCAGCCAGGCCCGGAAACAAGCAGCUUCUAAAUCUCCUGUCGUGAAGGUAACCAUUUCAGAGACUGCAUGGGAGAAGCUUUCUUAAAUGGAAAAUCCAUCAGCCUGUGGAACCACCUAGAAAGGGAGGGUAAAUGUCACGGCUGCU